CGGAUGUUUAUUUAAUGCAGAAAAAAAAAAAGCAAUAAAAAUAUAUUAAAAAAAAAAACAAAAAACCAUUAUUAAAAAAACAUAAUAAUAAUAAUAAUAAAAAAAAAAACAAAGAAGUCUUAGCACUUUGCGAUGGAACGGGUACUUUGAGAUCACUUUAUCUUAAUUUAAAAAGAAAAAAAAAAAGCAAGAGCAAAACAUGUUUACAAAUCGAAACCAACUUCUACGGAAAAAAAAAAAAAAGAUAUUAUUAAAAAAAAAAAAAAAGCCUAAAUUUAUUUUUGUAAGAAAAGAAAAACGUGUAUAUAUAUAUAUAUAUAUAUAUAUUUAAAAGGAAAAACAAAAAAAAAAAAACAAAACAAAAAAAAAAAACCCCAACCCCAACGUAGGCAGAAUCCGAGCUGUAUUUCGUGGAGUAAUAAAGGCUGAAAGGUGUCCAUGAGAGGAUCGGUGCUGGUGAGGCUCUGCGAUGUGCCCUGGAAAGCAGCCCCUCCGAAGUCGUUGCACUUCACCAAACGGAAGCUUGAAUUUUAGGCAGGAAUCGUGGGUUUUGUUUCAUUUUGUGUAUCGUUCAUUUCUCCCCCUCCUCCCCCCCCCCCCCCCCCCAACCCCCCCCCUUCUUUUUUCUUUUUUUUUUUUUAAGUUUUAUUAUUAUUAUUAUUAUUAUCCCUUUUUUUUUUCUUUCUUUCUUUCUGUUGUUGUUUCUUCUUCAAUGUUCCAUAGCCAGUUCUAGGCCAGACGUGUGUCCCCCAUUGCCCCCGUCUGGUUGUGCCCAUGGGUCCGGUGCUGUGGGCCUGGAACCAUAGGCCUGGUUGCUGCUGGGCCUGCUCCUGUGGGCCUAGCGCCAUUGGGCCCAGAACCACGAAGCCAUUGCCACCUGGCCCAGUGCUGUAGGCCCGGUGCCGUAGGCCGCUGGGCCUGGUCCUGCGGGCCCAGUGCAGUUGGAUUCAGCGCCGUAGGCCCAACACCACUGUGCCCGGCCCUGCGGGCCCGAUCUUCUGGGCCCAAUGCUGUUGGGCCUGGAACCAUUGGCCCAGUAUGAGCAGAACCAGCACUGUGGGCCUGGCACCAUCGGGCCCGGUGCUGUAGGCCCAGCACUGUUGGGCCUGCGGUGCCAUUGGUCCUCUGGGCCCGGCGCCGUUGGGCCCGAUGCCACGAUGCAGGCCGCAGCCUUCCGCCCCAGCGGCCGUUGCCGCCCCGGGCCCAGCAGCACGCAGGCCGUGGCGGGGGCUGUCAGCCCUAUCUCUGCCCGAGGGCCACGUCUGGUGCAGCAGAUAACAACCCCCCCUCCCCCCACCUCCCCCAGCGCCCUGCAUGGCGCGGGGUGCCCUCCCACCCCCCCACCCCCCCCCGUCCCCACGAUGGCGGCGAGUGCCUUGGCUGGACGUCCCCGCGAAGGGACGGGGACGCAGGGCCGACCCUCUGCUCAGCGCUGGCGAAGCUCUGGCAUAUGCAAAAACUCGCGCGGACGUGUAAAUAGAGUUACUUGAGGUUCUUCUUGUAAUCGAGUCGUGGUAUCUCUUUUCUAGUUUGUGUCACUGCUCCUCUCCCCCCCACCUCUCCUCGGCCCCAAAGGAACGUUGCGACGCUUUGCGUUUCUCCCUCCGCCACUCGGGAAGCAAACCCCGGCGCCCUCCUCCCCCCGGGGGCAAAAAGGAGAGGGAAAACAAGGAGAAAAUGAUAAAAAGCAGAGAGAGAGAGAGAGGCUGCGUGUGGCUGUGUGUGUGUGUGUGGCUGUGGCUGUGUGUCAGACUCAGGAUCCCCGCGGAUGGAGCGCCGGACACCAACGCCGAUGGACGGACGCACCGUUUGCUGGCAACACUUUAGCACAAAGUUGGAAGUUUGCACUAAAAAAAAACAAAAAACCCAGAGAAAAUAAGGAUAAAAACGAAAAAAAAAAGAGAUGAGAAAAAGAGAGAAGGAAAGGAAGAAACGGGAAGGGAAAGGAAGGGGGAGGAAAAAGAAGGGAGAAGGAAAAAGAGAUGGGAAGGAAAUGAGUGAGAAAUGGGGAAAAAAAGUGAAUGAUUAGGAAAAAAUGAGUGGGAAAUAAUAAGGAGCGAAAGGGGAACAAAAAUCAGAGAAAUGAGGAAAAAUAAGAGAAGAUUGGGGGAAAAAUAAGGACAGAUGUGAGAAAAGAUUAAAAAUUGGAAAAAAUAAGAAAAAAUAGGGAAGAAAUUGGGGAAAAAGUGAGAAAAAUGAGGAAAAAAUUGGGAAAAAUUGGGGAAAAAUGAGGAAAAAAUUGGGAAAAAAUGGGAAAAAAAUAGGAAAAAAUUGGGAAAAAAAUGGGAAAAAUUAGGAAAAAAUUGGGGAAAAUGAGGAAAAAAUUUGGGAAAAAAUUGGGGAAAAAAUAGGAAAAAAUUGGGAAAAAAUUGGGGAAAAUGAGGAAAAAAUUGGGGAAAAAAUUGGGAAAAAUGAGGAAAAAAUGGGAAAAAUUGGGGAAAAAAUAGGAAAAAAUUGGGGAAAAAAUGGGAAAAAUGAGGAAAAAAUUGGGGAAAAAAUUGGGAAAAAUGAGGAAAAAAUUGGGAAAAAAUGGAAAAAAAUGAGGAUGAAAAAAGAAUGAGGAAAAAAAGGAGCACUGCGGGAGGGCACAAAGGCUGCGCUGCGCCCCACUGAGCUGCACUGUGAUAAAGUGUUGCCAAAGAGACGGAAAAGGGAUAAGAAAUGCAUUGCUGGGGGGGGUCGGGGGGGGGGGGGGAUAAAAAAAUACAGCGGAAACGGGGGGGAAAAAUGGAUUUCUGCCCGUUUUUGGUACCGAGAGGGGAAAAACGGCGAUCCCGAAUGGCCCCCGCGGUGGUGGUUGGGGGGGGGGGGGUCUUUUAGGGCUCAUCUCCCCCCCCCCCCCCCCCCAUCGCUCCUAUUUAAAGUAGAAGAAAUAAAACACAGCUCUAUCUCUAUCUAUAGAAUCUAUUUAUAUUUUCGAUUUACGGUGAUAGAAAAAGAAAGGAGAGAAAAAAAAAGACAAAGUUUUAUUUAAGAGAGGAACGCUUUGUAAAGUGGGGGGGGGGCGACCCCCAAUCCCCCCCCCCCCCUAAAAAUAAAGGACCCCGAUAUAUAAUAUAUAUAUAUAUACACACAGAGUGCAAAGAAAUGGGUUUAUUUGGGGUUUGUGGUGAUGGGGGGGGGGGGGGGGGCUGCAAUUUGGGGGGGGUCUUUGGGGGUUCAUUUCUGCGGCGCCUUUUUAUGUCUCUCUCUCUGAUCUCGGAGCGAAGGAAGAGUUUUUCGGGGAGGUUUUUAAUGUUAUCUAUUAAAGAAAACACCACGAGGAAAUAAUUGCAAUUCAAUAAAGGACUUUUUGUGGUCGUGGGGGCGGUGAGGGGGGGGGGGGGGGCGGGGGG
ensembl:lncRNA